GAUGAACGCUGGCGGCGUGCCUAAUACAUGCAAGUCGAGCGGCAGCACGGUCUUCGGACUGGUGGCGAGCGGCGGACGGCUGAGUAACGCGUAGGAACAUGCCCUAAAGUGAGGAAUAACUGCCCGAAAGGGUGGCUAAUGCCGCAUGUGCUCUUCGGAGUAAAGCUUUAUGCGCUUUAGGAGUGGCCUGCGUCCGAUUAGCUAGUUGGCGAGGUAAAUGCUCACCAAGGCGACGAUCGGUAGCUGGUCUGAGAGGAUGAUCAGCCAGACUGGAACUGAGACACGGCCCAGACUCCUACGGGAGGCAGCAGUGGGGAAUCUUAGACAAUGGGGGAAACCCUGAUCUAGCCAUGCCGCGUGAUCGAUGAAGGCCUUAGGGUUGUAAAGAUCUUUCAGGUGGGAAGAUAAUGACUGUACCACCAGAAGAAGCCCCGGCUAACUCCGUGCCAGCAGCCGCAGUAA
rnacentral:rRNA from 1 species